rnacentral:tRNA from 2 species
GUGUCAAGUUAGUGAGCAACUGACGACAUGAGGAUGGAAAAUCCUUGUGUCGGUGGUUCGAUUCCGCCCCGGGCCACCA